UGGGGAAUAUUGGACAAUGGGCGCAAGCCUGAUCCAGCCAUGCCGCGUGAACGAUGAAGGCCUUAGGGUUGUAAAGUUCUUUUGUCAGGGAAGAUAAUGACGGUACCUGAAGAAUAAGCACCGGCUAACUUCGUGCCAGCAGCCGCGGUAAUACGAAGGGUGCUAGCGUUGUUCGGAAUCACUGGGCGUAAAGCGCGCGUAGGCGGCUUAACAAGUCAGAGGUGAAAGCCUGGAGCUCAACUCCAGAACUGCCUUUGAAACUGUUAAGCUUGAGUGUCGGAGGGGCAAUCGGAAUUCUUGGUGUAGCGGUGAAAUGCGUAGAUAUCUACUGGAAUGCCGAUGGGGAAGCCGUCCGGCUGGGCCUGUCCUGACGCUGAGGCACGAAAGCGUGGGGAGCAAACAGGAUUAGAUACCCUCGUAGUCCCUGAGCGGGCUGGCAAGGCGCAU
rnacentral:rRNA from 1 species